UCCUCCUUAGCUCAGUUGGUAGAGCGCGUCACUUGUAAUGACGAGGUCAGUCGUUCAAGUCGGCUAGGUGGAA